UACGUAGGGGGCAAGCGUUGUCCGGAUUUACUGGGCGUAAAGAGCGUGUAGGCGGCCAAGCAGGUCCGUUGUGAAAACUGGAGGCUUAACCUCCAGACGUCGACGGAAACCGCGUGGCUAGAGUCCGGAAGAGGAGAGUGGAGUUCCUGGUGUAGCGGUGAAAUGCGCAGAUAUCAGGAAGAACACCAAUGGCGAAGGCAGCUCUCUGGGACGGUACUGACGCUGAGACGCGAAAGCGUGGGGAGCGAACAGG
rnacentral:rRNA from 1 species